UUCAAUACUUUUUUCGGUGAAUCUAUUUUAUAAACAGAAUUCUAUCGACUAUCACUAUAGUGUGAGUGUGAUUUAUCCAUGGUGAGAUGGGGCUAUAUAGAAAGUGACAUUUGACAAUCAAUGUUGGUGCAUAGGCAAGAUGUGGAACAGCUAUAGACAUGGUGUUGCAGUUGUUAGAUACAUCACACUCAAACGAUUUAAAACACUUUUUAAAAAAGUAUAACAUACUUUAGAUGCUAAGGAAUCAGGAAAAUGGAGUUAUGUCCAGGCUGGUUGUAGCUGUCUGUGACUACCUCUAUUGUGUUUUUCUGAGCUAGCUCAAGACAAUCCAUGAAGGGUUACAAGAAAUUGUUGGAUUAUUCCCUUGCAAUCAGGUACUUUAUUAGAGAUUAUUCAGACUCUUCUAGGACUAGA